rnacentral:lncRNA from 1 species
AGGAGUUCUCUUGUGGAUACCUGGGAGUUUUGAGAUUCUGCCCAGCUUCCCACCUGUCCAUUCCUGCAAAAUCUCUGGAUGGAGCAGGCUGAUGUGGGAGCUGGAUUGUGUUCUUGCUGCUCUCAGCUGCCAGAUUCUCUGAGCUUAGUGCUGAGCAAAAGCACUAAGCUCAUAUAUAUACUAAGCAGCUGCUGUCCCUGAUAGACAGCUGAUCACUGUGUGCGCCUUUGCCCUCCUGCUUUUAUUUCCCCAGCAAGCUGUAGAAACACGUAUGUUGCUCCAUCCCCUGUGCAACCAGCCAAGAAGCUGAACUGAAUCUGGAUGCACUCUAGAAAUAUCCUUGCAGCAUAAGAUGUGCUUUGCAAGCUUCAUGGUAACUGAUGUAGAACAUAUUUCUUUGCACUGACUCCAGAAGGGACAAUGGACCAAGGAACUUAAGAUCAAUUCAGUUUUUCCUGAUCCACUUGGUGAGUUGUUCUACUGGUGGUGGGGACAGCUAUUCCCGUACUCUAAUCACUGUUAAAUCACUGGAGCUAGUUUCUGCUGAAAUGUUGAAGUGAUAAACUAUGCCUUAACGCACUUAGCCCAAGCAGAUAUCUCUACAGCGCAAAUGCAACCAGAGUUAGAAACCUCAGAACAAAUACUCCAGGGUCUGUAGGAGUCUUGAAUUUUCUCUUCCUUCUCCCCUAGGAUUCAGGUGGUCCCCAAAGACCAUCUCUGCUCUUCGUGGGUAUUUCUGCAUCAGAACCACUCCGUCCCCACCACCCUCCGAGAGCUCAGGUGCAAAUCAUCUCCUCAUUAAGGUGAGCUCUCUUUUCUCUCCUUCCCUGAUGUCCUUGGAAGGAAGACAGCAAAUAAGAGUUUGCUUUGAAGAUGCCUGAUGAGUAAAAGGAUGCUGAGUGUGGUCAAUGUUCCUCUCACCUUCUCUGCCACCAGCUCAGACUUGACUUCUGGCACUGCUGUAAGCAGUUGUAGCAAGACAGGUGAUAUUCAGAGAUCUGGCUUUAGUGAUUGUUUUAACACCAAGGGAGUUUUUGUGUAG